UGGGGAAUCUUGCGCAAUGGGGGGAACCCUGACGCAGCGACGCCGCGUGCGGGACGGAGGCCUUCGGGUCGUAAACCGCUUUCAGCAGGGAAGAGAAGAGACUGUACCUGCAGAAGAAGCCCCGGCUAACUACGUGCCAGCAGCCGCGGUAAUACGUAGGGGGCGAGCGUUAUCCGGAUUCAUUGGGCGUAAAGCGCGCGUAGGCGGCCCGGCAGGCCGGGGGUCGAAGCGGGGGGCUCAACCCCCCGAAGCCCCCGGAACCUCCGCGGCUUGGGUCCGGUAGGGGAGGGUGGAACACCCGGUGUAGCGGUGGAAUGCGCAGAUAUCGGGUGGAACACCGGUGGCGAAGGCGGCCCUCUGGGCCGAGACCGACGCUGAGGCGCGAAAGCUGGGGGAGCGAACAGG
rnacentral:rRNA from 1 species